UACAGAGGUCUCGAGCGUUAGGCGGAAUCACUGGGCUUAAAGCGUGUGUAGGCGGAUUGCUAAGUACCUUGUGAAAUCCCACGGCUUAACCGUGGAACUGCUUGGUAUACUGGCUGUCUUGAGCCACUUAGGGGCGACCGGAACAAACGGUGGAGCGGUGAAAUGCGUAGAUAUCGUUUGGAACGCCAAAGGUGAAAACAAGUCGCUGGGAGUGUGCUGACGCUGAGACACGAAAGCCAGGGGAGCAAACGGG
rnacentral:rRNA from 1 species